GACGAACGCUGGCGGCGUGCCUAAUACAUGCAAGUUGAGCGCUGAAGGUUGGUACUUGUACCAACUGGAUGAGCAGCGAACGGGUGAGUAACGCGUGGGGAAUCUGCCUUUGAGCAGGGGACAACAUUUGGAAACGAAUGCUAAUACCGCAUAAAAACUUUAAACACAAGUUUUAAGUUUGAAAGAUGCAAUUGCAUCACUCAAAGAUGAUCCCGCGUUGUAUUAGCUAGUUGGUGAGGUAAAGGCUCACCAAGGCGAUGAUACAUAGCCGACCUGAGAGGGUGAUCGGCCACAUUGGGACUGAGACACGGCCCAAACUCCUACGGGAGGCAGCAGUAGGGAAUCUUCGGCAAUGGACGAAAGUCUGACCGAGCAACGCCGCGUGAGUGAAGAAGGUUCUCGGAUCGUAAAACUCUGUUGGUAGAGAAGAACGUUGGUGAGAGUGGAAAGCUCACCAAGUGACGGUAACUACCCAGAAAGGGACGGCUAACUACGUG
rnacentral:rRNA from 1 species